rnacentral:lncRNA from 1 species
GAAAAGAAAAACUUAGAGAAGAAAAAAAACCCUUCUGGCGCUCUGCUAGGGUUUAAUACCCAAGCCUCCUCGCGCCGCCGCCUUAUCACCCUCCGUCGCGACUCCGUGUAGUCGGAGGCCGGAGGGCUGCCAAAUCUGGGUUCUUAAACCCCUCCUAACAACUCUCGAGAGCCAAGGUAAGUCUAUCCCUUCCCAUUUACUUUUAUUAUUAUUUUUUAAAACGGAACAAAUGAAAUAAAGAGAAUAAAAAACGAAGAAAAAAUUUCACCUUGAAUCAAAAAAACAAUCUGUAUUCAAUGCUUUUUUUCUAUUUCUUGUGUAUUUUCUCCCUUAAUACCAUCUUCCCCUCGUUUACAAAAAUACUAGCUUUAUAUAUAUAGCCGAAAUGAAAAAAAUAAAGUGAAUAAAUAUGUUUAUUUUUUUGUUGUUUUUCUCUUUGCGGACUCCUUGAGUCCGUGUUUGCAGGCGUGUGGGGAGCAAACGUGCGUGGAGAGGCCCUCCGAGUCUUGCGGCGAUCGGAGUCCUUGCUGGAGGCAAGGGCUUGCUGCGGCUAAGGUUCUUCUUUUUUGAUUUCAAUUUUGUUGUAUUGGGCUGCUAGUUACUGAGUUUGGGGUUUGGGUCUGUUAGGUGGUUUGGGCCUGAGUGUUAUAAUGUAAAGUGGGUGUUGGAUUGGGCCUGGGCACAUUUGGGUUUAUACAAUUUGGAUAGUAUAACAUAUCAUCAUCUUUGAAGGUACAACUCUUAGUACUUGAACCAAAUAAUUGACGUUUAGACCUUCUCAGAGAAUGAUAUCAAAGUUACUUUGAUGCUAUUAUUGUGUACGUUGAACCAAAUAAAAAUGUUUCGAACUCCU